UCUUGACUCCCUCCCAUGUUUUUCUCUCUCUCUCCUCUGUGUUGGCCAACACACACUCUGUCUGUCUCUCUGUCCUUGCCUCUUCUUGUGCUGUCUCCCUUCGUAGGACACAGGCAGGAGUGCUAGGUUUGCAUCCCCAUAGGCUAGGUCUCAGGAGCUAUGUACAAGUAGGAGGGGAUGAAAAUCAUGCAGGACAGUGGGCGCUAGAGUGGAGUGGUGUCUGUGGAUGUUGACUCAGUCUCUGUUUAUCGAGUCGGGCGGAUUGAGAUGGGAUGAGAGAGGGAGGCAGGGAUGAGGGCAAGAUUAAAUACACCAAUAGAACUCUGUGUAGUGAUGGUACUUGCUUGGCUUUAUUAGUUUCCAGAGGAAUCAUCCAGGAGCCCUAGCUGGGUGAGAAUAUGCAGAAGUGGACGUGAGCAGCCUGGACAUUCUUCUAAGGAGACAUGAAUAGUCCUCCGCUUCCUGCCUCCCGUUUAACUGGCUGUGAGUAAGAGUACCAAGGGAAAAUAAGUCACGUGCCAGAAUCUACUGCCCUCAUGCGAUGGAAAGUGAAGGAGAGCGAUGACACUGCGAGUAUUGUCGAUGCCACGCAAAAGCCGUCCAACUGGGAGUGGAACAGCCACCACUCUCAAUGAGAAGUGUCUGUUUUGGUGAUUGCUCUGCUCACGGCCCUCCCUGCUCCUGGUAGGGAUGCCACAUUAGCUGGGGCUGGGUUUGUAAGAAAAUGUUCUUGACUAGCUGUAGUUAUGAAGGGCAUAAGGUCCCCAUUUUCAGAGGCUGCUCAGUUCUCUGGCCAGGAGUGGCGAGUUCUCUGCAGUAGAAGGUUGGAUCCAGGAGGAUGACUGCAGGUGGACACGGGCAGGGUGCUUGGUGUGCAUCCUCACAGGCUAGGUCUUGGGAGCCAUGGAGAAGGAAGAGCGGAGAAAAAUCAUGAGGGGCAGUGGUGCGGUGACUCUGAUUACUCAUCUCUGUUCAUCGAGUCGGGCUCAG